GCAGAAAUGGAUAUCUUCAUUUGUGGACAAUGUCCUCCCUCCAACUAGGGCAAUAAUGUCUGCCAUAUACGACGAGAAGAAGGAUGGAGAUGGAUUCCUCUAUGUUACCUACAGCGGGAAGAAUACAUUUGGGCACUAGAUACAACUAUAGAUCGAGCGAGGCUGAUGGGGUCUCCUUUUACUUUCAUCAUUAGCUUAUCAUCCUUUCUUGCUUUUGUAUUAAUAAUUUCAUUUCAAUUCCCAAAAUAUAAAGACCUCUCCACUGAUAAGAUGUACAGUCAUAUUAUGUAUAUAGCUUCUAGAGAAGUUGGCAAACAUUAGAAACUGGUUUAUGCU